CGAAAUUCAAAUAAAGACAACAAGGACGAUGAACAAUCACUCGCUCGAAUGAGAAAUGGUUAGAACAUAAACAGUGUCAUAUUGAAGACAUUCCUUCCACGUCAACGGAAUCAGAAAAAAGAGACAACGAAGAAGCACAAGCAGCCAGAGAAGGAGGAUCGAAGAAAAAGAAAUUAGAGAUGGUAGAGGCUGACCAGCAGCCUUUUCAUAAGGAUAAGCCUUCUUCUCAACAAUAAUUCUUAAAUAAAUGAAGAAAUAUCAACACGAUAAGAAGAUUAAUCAAAAAAAAUUUUAAUUACAUUUUCUUUAUUCGGCACAUUAUCGAAAUAAAUUUAAUUAUUCGUACUUAAUACAAAUGUUUAAAAUAUUGUAACACACUAAUUAAAUAUACAAUCAACGAACGGCAUUUAUUCAAUUAAGUACUGAAAAUAUUAAGGAAGACGAUUUCAAUCAUGGAAAUUUAUAUGAAAAAAACUUAAUGACAAAAUUUUAACGUUAUUUUAAAUGAUAUUAAUGUGCGCAUACAUCA